rnacentral:rRNA from 1 species
ACACAAUAAGUAUUCCGCCUGGGGAGUACGGUCGCAAGAUUAAAACUCAAAGGAAUUGACGGGGGCCCGCACAAGCAGCGGAGCAUGUGGUUUAAUUCGAAGCAACGCGAAGAACCUUACCUAGACUUGACAUCUCCUGAAUUACCGGUAAUGCGGGAAGCCCUUCGGGGCAGGAAGACAGGUGGUGCAUGGUUGUCGUCAGCUCGUGUCGUGAGAUGUUGGGUUAAGUCCCGCAACGAGCGCAACCCUUGUCGUUAGUUGCUACCAUUAAGUUGAGCACUCUAGCGAGACUGCCGCGGUUAACGCGGAGGAAGGUGGGGAUGACGUCAAAUCAUCAUGCCCCUUAUGUCUAGGGCUACACACGUGCUACAAUGGUCGGUACAACAAGAUGCAAAGCCGCGAGGCAGAGCAAAACUGAAAAACCGAUCCCA